AGUUCAUACAGACCUCACUUUACGAAAUGUCCGUAUUGCUGAACAAAUUUGACCAUGAGCCAAGGGUCAGAGUUGUUAGCAAUAUGUUUGGCGGUGGUCCUUGUAUCUCCGAGAACCAGAGACUGUGAUACUACCACGUAGACAGGGCGUCUCUCUUACUAGCUGUAUCUGUCCCACCCUCCCACCUCAUUUCCGCUCCCAAAUAUUAGGAGCGCCCUUCCAUAUGCUUUGCCCUAGACGUUCUGUCACGCAAUGUUUAGAGUUUUUCCUAAAUCCUUUUCGAUCAUUCGGAAUGUUGUCCUACCCAUCACCACUACUUGCGUUUAUGAAAAUGGAAACUCUGUCGCCUCACUUCCCGGAUAUUGCUGGAAAAAGUGGUAGAGAAGUACUAUCAUUUGUGACACACCUCUAUCAAUUCUUUACAUUAUUUACACUAUUUACAUUCGACAGAUAUUUGUCCUCAUCUUUGUUGUUAACACAACGUUUCGGCUGAUAUACCCUCCAGCCUUCUUCAGGUGUCUUGGGGAAAUUUCGAACCUGGGUUCUCAUUCCUAAGCUGUGAGUUUUAAUACAAUAAUAAUAACACUGAAAAAGAAAAAAAAGAGAUCGAGAGCACUAUAGCGCAAACCAAGCGUAAGACCAUGUUUUGGCCACGAAUUGGAGGGUCAACCUUAGGAAUGAGUAAGUGUCUCCACUGUGCCGCAUUUGUAAUAGAGCGAACAAAGCCAUUGUCCAUAUGCACGAACGAAUGCCAUAGACUUGCCCCAAACCACUACAAGUCGUGACGGCAGGAUCAGGUAACUAAAGUGCUACAUUGGAAACUGUGCGAAAAGUGUGUGUGUGUGUGUGGGGGGGGCUAGAGAGAGGCAAGGCGUGGUAUGAGCACAAACCACAGACAGUGGGGGAGUCGGAGACCAGCAAAAUCUUCUGGGAUUUCCCAAUCCAAACAGACCAGGUGCUAGAGCAUAACAAACCAGACCUAGUGGUAGUUGGCAAAAUGCACCUCAUGUGCUAUAUAGUUGGUGUUGCGUGAUCCUUUGACCCGCAAAUAGUCAAGGAGGAAGGCGAAAAAUUAUAUAAAUACAACCCUCUUAAGUACGAAAUAGCCCGGCUAUGAAAUAAAAAUAAAAAAUUCCUGAUACCAUGCCGCGGGAUCGAAAGCAGGACCUUGUGAUUGCAAAGGGAGUUUCUUAAUUAUUUGUUCAGAUUGCACGCCUACACAUAUUGUCUUUGCCUCUCAGACAUACACACGUAUUGGUAAUGACACACACACACACACACACACACACAUACACACACACACACAUACACACACACACACAAAUACAUACAUACAUGCAUUCAUCCAUACAUUUAUACAUACAAUGACGCUGAUAUAUUAUUCAUAGAUAUGUGACGCAUACAUGCACACGCAAACAUACAUUUGCACACAGACACACAGACCCAACACACACACACACAUACACACACGUCUUCUGCUUUAAAAGUACGUAGCUUAUCGAGCACUUCCACGUCAGACACCUCCCCCGCCAGACACCUCCGCCUCGCCCCCUCCUCUCCAAUAUUAAUCAACAUAAAAUUGAUUGAAACUCUGUUUAGAAGUGAAAGGACAGAAGCAAUCAUGGCGGCGUCGAUAGACCGGAAAUAGGUUUGUACACCGGAAAUAGAGGAAUCGUAUGUCACAAUGGCUUGUAAUUGUUCGCUUAGAUAGCGUCGUUGUUUGUUAUUGCCUCCAGAAACAAUGGCGACAAUAUGUUUGUGGGUUGUCGAGGACGUAUUACACACAAUUGCCAAUUGUAAUUAAAUAUCAUUGAAAGUUUAACAAUAUUGUUGUUGUUCUCCUCCGGUCAACUCUUAUUGAUCAGACAUAUUCUUUCUUUAAAACUAAGAUCUGGCUGUUAUUUCUAGCAAAUCGAAAGUCCAGGUAAAUGAACCGUCUUUGGUUCAUAGUGAGUUUCGUGUUAGAAUUUAACGGAAGAAAAAUAUUUUAUUUUCGUUUCUAUUUGAAAUAGUUUUAUGGUGUCCCCUGAGAGAACUAUAAAACCGGACAUGUUGACGAGUGGUCAGUAAUGUUAUAUCCAGCCAACGGCGAUGUUUUGUAUUAAUGGUCAAGAUAAUUGAUCCUCAACAAUGUAAGUUCCAGUCCACCUAGCCGUAAGCAGGUACCUAUUUCUUUAUUACCCACAAGGGGCUAAACAUAGAGGGGACAAACAAGGACAGACAUAGGUAUUAAGUCGAUUACAUCGACCCCAGUACGCAACUGGUGCUUAAUUUAUCGACCCCGAAAGGAUGAAAGGCAAAGUCGACCUCAGCGGAAUUUGAACUCACAACGUAACGACACAUACGCCAUAGAAACCGGGAAACCGGGCCCAUGAGCCUGGCUAGGCUUGGAAACGGCGCAUAAAUGAAUAAAUUGAAAUGAUAUAUCAUAGUUUUUUCAGAAUCUAGUUGGUUUAAUUGUCUUCAAUCUCUGCUGUCCAAAGAAAUUCGAUCAACUGAAGUAAAAAAAAAAAAAAAAAUCGAUAUUCAACGAAGAGAAUGGGAUUAGAUCCAACGACGAGUCCCGCUCCAGUCAUUCUAUUUUGCUAGAAAUAGUAACCUAAUCUCCCUCGUAUCAUAUCCUACUGGCUUCUUUAAGGAAUGGAUACUUUGGACAAUGUAGCUUUUGAUACACUAUGCCUGAAAGGAAAAGUGAUGGUCACGGAUAGAAGGCUUUUGAUCAUAAAUUUCCUGGAUCAGAACUAACAUCGGGUUAAACAACUGAAAUGGAAAAAAAAAAACCCAGAAAAAAGCUAGUAACAUUUUUUUCCUUUUAAAAUCAUCUAAUUUUUGGUACAAAUCAUUUGACUGCGGCCAUACUGGGGCACAAAUACCGCGUAUGUGUAUGUGUGAGAGAUACGGAAAGGCAGGGUAAGAAAUUGAGAACAUAUGCUAAUCAAGGGGGAUUACUCUAUAGGGCUUAAAAGUUGUGCUUGGAUUGGAAUCGACGACUAACACACACACACACACACGCACACACAACGGGCUUCUUUCAGUUUCCGUCUGCCAAACCCACUCACAAGGCCCGAGGCUAUAGUAUAUAUAUGUGUGUGUGUGUGUGUGUGUGGAUAAAUAUAUAUAUAUACGCUGUGUGUGUGGGAGGAUAUGCGUCAGUGAUUAUGUAUGUGUGUUAAUGUGUGCAUGUGUAUGUCAGUAUGUGUGCUCAUGUAUGUAGAUAUAUGUGUGUGUGUGUGUGUCUGCGUAUAAAACGCGAGCAAGAUCUUUCCAACGAGUAAUCUUAUACCCAUCACAGUUUCAGAUAAACGUCUGCCUCCGUAGUCCCCAUCCACCAUUUAAACGGGAUGGCGGGAUGGAUCGCAUCUUAUCUCCGUUAAACCAAGACUUUUAUCUCCGUUAAACGGGGGGAAAAUACUUUAUCUUCAUUAAACGAACAAUUUAUGAUCCAUAAACGGCGGUGGAGGGUAGAAGCUUAUCUCCACUAAACGAGGCAUUUAUCUCCGUUAAACGGGUAGAUGAGCUGGAGGAAGAAGACAAACACACACACACACAAACUAUCUUUGUUAAGCGUCGAUCUUAACCGACGUUCUCACAGCAUCGGAGACAGUCUCAAGUCUUUAAUAAACAAAAUAUAACAUACAGCAGCACAACAACACCAAAUACGUAAGAGCAUGGUAGUCCUGGUUUAGGACGAAUGUUGCGGUAAUUUAGCCCCAGGAGACAUCGUCUCCAGCUGGCCAUAUGACAUGCAUGAUCUGUGUCCUUAUAUUUUCGAACGAGGGAAUCUAACAGAAAUCGUGUCGUAUAAGGACACAGAUCGUGUCGUACAGCCAGUUGGAGACGAUGUCUCCUGGGGCUAAAUUACAGCAACAUUCGUCCUAAACCGGGACUGCCAUGUUAUGUUGGCAAACAAUCUUUAUUCCAAAGUACUGUUGCUGAAUAUCUCUCGAUGUGAGAUUUAAAAAUAGUAAUUUUCUACGUAAGAACAGCCCCUGGCAAAAUUAAAGAUCCCUUUCAUAUUUAGAACAAACAGGGGUAUCUUUCGGGGUGGGGGCGAAGAGGUAGGACAAAUAUCCAUAACCUCAUCAGCAACAUCAGCCGACACCACCAACGCCGCCGCCACCGCUGCCGCCAGUGUCUCCACCGCCACUGCCGCUACCGCCAGUGCCGCUACGCACGUACACGCACACACAUAAAUGCAUAUAUAUAUAACAACACACACAAGCACACACAUACACGUAUUUAUAUAGACACGCCAACGUACAGCUCAUUUGUCCUCUCUAUUAUCAUGUAUAUAUAUAUAUAUAUAUAUAUAUAUAUAUAUAUAUAUAUAUAUAUAUAUAUAUAUAUAUAUACGUUUAUAUGCAAGAUUUUUAUAGUCGUGUUUGAAACAGAAUAAGAAAAUGGAGCCAAUAAAAACACACGCACUAUAUAUUUGGUGUUAUUUUGCUUCAGUGAUAUUUAUUUUUUACAUUAAUCAGAUUCCUUUCAAUCAUCAACUUACAGAUAAUACCAAUUCAUAUAAUUUAUUAACUAAUUAAAUAUGAACAUGCAAAUUCAACAGAAUAAAACAGAAUAAAACAAUAUACAUCAAUAAGUAAGAUAAUACCAUAAAAAUAUUACAUAUUAGCCUUUUGGGUACUUCACUGGCAGUAUAUUGGAUAACUGAUAUCCCAUAGUGGGUUACACUCAUAACCCCUAUCUCACUUUGUACUUAUAUAUAUAUAUAUAUAUAUAUAUAUAUAUAUAUAUAUAUACUUAGCUCUAAUAUUUUGCAGCAGGCUGUGGUGUAUCUGGCGUUACUGACGUACCUCAGACUUCACUUCCUGUUUCGAAAUCUCUAAAGAUGAGAGCAGACACACACAGAUACACACACGAACACACAGACACAGACACACAGAGAUACACACACACACACACACACACACACACACACACACACACACACACACACACACACACACACAUGCACACACACACAUAUCUUCCCGUCUGAAUAUUCUUUUUCUUCCUGAAGGCAUUGACCUGCAAAUAUUCAAGGUAGCCAUCGUCUGCAUCGAUCUCAGAAGCAUGGGAGGAUGAAAACCUUACGGUCAGUGCUCUUAUCCCUCCCACCCAUGACACACACACACACACACACACACACACGCACACAUUACGUGUAAAUAAAAGCAUAUCGUAGAUUAUUCAAGAAUUGAAUAACUUUCCGCAAAGUUCCUGAAGAAGGCCUCGGUAUAAUUUCGUGUCGUAUAAUUUUGAAAGGAAAAUUGAAGAUGCCUCGAAUGACUGAAAAUUUUGUGAACACAAUUGGAACCGAAUGACAGUCGAUCAGAAGUUAUAUUGUUGAAACGAUGAGUAAGUUUUCCUGAAAAUUAUUAUGAAAGUUGUUGAAACGUCGGCGUCUUGUUACCACUUAAAGUAGGUUUGUGACCCUUCUUCAAAAAGCAAGCCCUUCUGGGCACAAAUAUGAAGGUGAUAUUGGCCUGCUUUUUAUCAAAAGGUCAUCGUUCAACAGGAUUCUUUUCAACUGGUCAGAAAUCAAUGAUCAGUUUUAUGUGUCUUGGAGCGUUUGAAGGAGGGAGUGCAAAGGAAGAGGUCCGAGGAAUAAAUAACGAAAACCUGAAUACUACAGAAGGACAUCGCCCCAUUCUCUAUUCGUGACGUUUUGGCAAAGCACGAGACACGAGACAACUCCUGGCUCCCCAAUCGCCCUACUUCGCCCCUGCGAAAGCAUUUUUUGAUCUCUACUGAGUUGGAAUAUACCCUGAAACGAAGCUGAUUCCAGGUAAUAGAAAAGACCGUCGAAAAUUCAGAACGAGAACUGCGCCCUAACUCUGAAAACAUACUUCAUGAAGGAUGCCAAAAGUAGACUAAAAACGUUGGUAGCUGAGUAUCAUCAAGAAAGGGAAUUAAUACGAAGAACAGAGGUCAGCUUAAACUGUAGGUAAUGGAACAAAUUUCUUUUUCUUUUUGGAUAUACCCCAUGUGUGUGUAUGUGCUUAUAUACGAACACAAGCAAACACAUAUAACUCUCUCUCCUUCUCUCUCUCACUCUCUCUCUCUCUCACACACACACACACACACACACACACACACACACACACAAACAGUGAAUUUUCUCGGAUUUUUAAAUUCAAUGCAUCUCUUAGUGCUUGGUCUCUAUUGGCCAUGGUUGUUCUUGCAAACAGCAUAUAUUCACGUGUGUAUGCAGUAAUCUGCUUUAACUUUGGUCAGUUCCACGAUGGAGAUAGUCUCAUACGAAAGCUUAGUUCCUUUACACACCUUUCAGGAAUUAAUAUCAGACCAAAUAAAGGUCGGUUGAGUUCGUCGGUCUUGCUUUACAUCGUAUAAAUAGAGGAGGACAGAAAGCAAAAGAGAAAUACACAGAGAGUUAGCAGUAGAGGUACUGGAUGUAUACACAUACUAAGCUUGGUGGCAGGCAAUGAAUGAAAGAACUCUGCAGAUACAGAGACAGGGAGAAAAAAAAUCAUUGAAACGGAGUAGGAGGUGGAGGCGGAGGAAAGAAGUAAAUGACAGUUAUGUGAUAGGUUAUACAAGCAAGAAAUUUGGUUUACUUGAUUUGAUAUCUAUCUAUCUAUCUAUCUAUCUAUCUAUCUACCUCUGUCUGUCUGUCUGUCUGUCUGUCUAUCUAUCCAUCUAUCUAUCUAUCUAUCUAUCUGUCUAUCUAUCCAUCUAUCUAUCUAUCUAUCUAUCUAUCUAUCUAUCUACCUCUGUCUGUCUGUCUGUCUGUCUGUCUGUCUGUCUAUCUAUCCAUCUAUCUAUCUAUCUAUCCAUCUAUCUAUCUAUCUAUCUAUCUAUCUAUCUAUCUACCUCUGUCUGUCUGUCUGUCUGUCUGUCUGUCUGUCUGUCUGUCUAUCUAUCCAUCUAUCUAUCUAUCUAUCUAUCUAUCUGUCUAUCUAUCCAUCUAUCUAUCUAUCUAUCUAUCUAUCUAUCUACCUCUGUCUGUCUGUCUGUCUGUCUGUCUGUCUAUCUAUCCAUCUAUCUAUCUAUCUAUCUAUCUAUCUAUCUAUCUAUCUAUCUAUCUACCUCUGUCUGUCUGUCUGUCUGUCUGUCUGUCUGUCUAUCUAUCCAUCUAUCUAUCUAUCUAUCUAUCUAUCUAUCUAUCUAUCUAUCUAUCUAUCUAUCUAUCUAUCUAUCUAUCUAUCUAUCUACCUCUGUCUGUCUGUCUGUCUGUCUGUCUAUCUAUCCAUCUAUCUAUCUAUCUAUCUAUCUAUCUAUCUAUCUAUCUAUCUACCUCUGUCUGUCUGUCUGUCUGUCUGUCUGUCUGUCUGUCUAUCUAUCUAUCUAUCUAUCUAUCUGUCUAUCUAUCUAUCUAUCUAUCUAUCUAUCUACCUAUCUAUCUAUCUAUCUAUAAUGUGUGCGUGUGUGUGUCUGAUCGCAAAGCGAGCUUUCUCUGUUAAAGUUAGUUCAAAUGUAGCACUCAAUACAUGAUACAAUUGUAGUUUUUGUUAGUUUAUUUUUGUGUUUUUAAAUUUAAAAAUUGACCCAACGACCGUUUGUUGCGAAAAUUGCACCAACUGUUAAGCUAGACUUAAAUCAUAAUCGAUAUUUUAUCGACGAUAUUAUCAAUCAAUAAAUAAGAAAAUGAAAAUGACAAAAAUAGAAUAUUUUGAACUGUUGAGAUUACAAUACGAAACGCGAAUAAGAUUUUCAUUUGGCUUUGUGAAGACAAACACAGAUACAUACAUGAAGACAUUUUGUGUGUGUGUGUGUGUGUGUGUGUGUGUAAUGUCUCUCUCUGUGUAAUGUUUAUGUUCGUGUGUGUGUGUGUGAUGUUUGUAUGAGUGUGUGUGUGUGUGUGUGUUGUCCAUCACUUCUUGGCAACCGGUGUUCGUUUAUUUACGUUCCCGUGUCUAAACGGUUCUGUAAAAGAAACCGAUAGAAUAACAGCAGACUUAAAUAUGAACUGGAGUCGAUUUGUUUGCCUAAAUCCUUCGAGGCAAUGCACCAGCAUGGCCACACUCCAAUAACUGAAACAAGCAAAACAUAAAAAAUAAACAAAAAAAACCCCACCUUCAUCGCUUUCGUUUUUCAUUUAGAAUAUAUUCUAAGGUGGCUAAUUUCAGGGAACACCAUACAAGAGUUACUUCCCUUGUGUAGUUCUUUUUUUCUUUUUUUCAUACUUUCUUCCCCGGCGGUUCUCCGUUUCUUCGUCUUUGCCUCAAACUUCAAGACUUUCCACCUUUUAAAAACUUUCCUGACUGCGGCUUUUGUGAUGUAUUUAUCUAAAUCCUGUUGUCACUUGUUAAUAUCUCUAUUGGUAGCUGGAUGUCGGAGAUGGUUCGUAGCUGGGACCUGUUUUGCCAUGUUUACGCCUGUCUCUCUCGCUUUUGUGUUCUGAUUUCGAAACCCACCGAUGUCUUUUGUUAAUAAUUUCAUUCACACCUGGGAUGUUUUAUAGGAAUAUUAAAUCUACCCCAGUAUUUCACCCCAGAAGGAUGAAAGACAAAGUUAGUCUUAGGAUGGUAUAUAACAAUAUUAAAUUUACCCCAGUAUUUCACUGGUAUUAAAUUUUAUCAACUGCUAGAUAACCUUUUCUACCCUAGGCACAAGGCCCGAAAUUUUGCGGAGGAGGCUAAUCGACUAGAUCGACUCCAUUACGCAACUGAUACUUAAUUUAUCGAUCCCCGAAAGGAUGAAAGGAAAAAUUGACCUCGGCGGAAUUUGAACUCCGAACAUAAAGACAGACGAAAUACCGCUAAGCAUUUAGCCCGGCGUGCAAACGUUUCUUAUUUCUUUAUUGCCCACAAGGGGCCAAACAUAGAGGGGCAAAACAGGAACAGACAAAGGGAUUUAGUUGAUUACAUCGACCCCAGUGCGUUGACUGGUACUUAAUUUAUCGACCCCGAAAGGAUGAAAGGCAAAGUCGAUCUCGGCGGAAUUUGAAAUCAGAACGUAAUGGCAGACAAAAUACCUAUUUUUUUUACUACCCACAAGGGGCUAAACACAGAAGGGACAAACAAGGACAGACACACGGAUUAAGUCGAUUACAAGUGCGUAACUGGUACUUAUUUGAACUCAGAACGUAGCGGCAGACGAAAUACCGCUAAGCAUUUCGCCCGGCGUGCUAACGAUUCUGCCAGCCCACCGCCUUGAAGGAGUGUAAUACUGCAAAAGAGACACUGCAGUACCCAUGACCAGAUACGAACCAGCGACUUCUCCGUUGGCUGGUUGUCCUCUAACCUCUCGACUCAGGUCAUCUGAAAUAUCACAAUUCUUGCGUAUGCAAAUUUUCUUAGUUCUCUCUUCUCCUCCUCCUCCUCUUACACACUCUCUCUCUCCUCUUUACUCUGCCCACCCCCCUAAUACAUGCAAAUCAAAACAACACAGACAUUGUUUACCGACGUUAAUUUCUGAUUGAAGGCCAAAAUCAAAAAUAACUUUUAAUAUAAGAAUUGCCAAACCUUUACAACUUAUUGCCAACUUUACUGCACACUGCUCCUCUUCCGCCCCACCCCCACCGUCCCUCGCACUACCCUUGUCUUUACUGUGUGCCUUUCCGUCUGUCUGUCUGUCCUUCUCCCCACCUCUCCCUCUCCCGUGUAUUUCAUAUUCUUUCACUGGAAAAUCUCGACUUUACAAAACAAAAACAAUCAUAAAAAAAAAUAAGAAAAAGAAAACAAUAACACAAGCAUGAAUAAUAAAAGAAGAAAAAAAACACAAACUUAAGCACAAGCAGAUCCCUCUAAAACCAUACGGCACACACCCUGCUCCUCCCGCCCUCCCCUCCACACGAACAUCACCUCCAACCCCGCCAUCACCAUCUCAAUUCCUACAUUCCAUCACCACCACCACCACCACCACCACCACUACCACCACCACCACGACCAUCAUCAUCAUCAUCAUCAUCAUCAUCAUCAUCAUCAUCACCACCACCACCACCACCACCACCACCACCACCACCACCACCACCACCAUCAUCAUCAUCAUCAUCAUCAUCAUCAUCAUCAUCAUCAGUAUCAAUAUCAACAGUACAACAACUUUUACUAUUGCUACUACUGCUACCCCAGCACCACCGCCACUACCACUACCACCGGCACCACUGCCAAACUACCUCCAACACGGAAGCAAACUCAUCUACAUUUGCAAUAACAACGACGGCAAUCGCUUCCCCAUUGCAAGAAACACCGACACUGCACCGCAAAACUGCGCCAACACCAACAAUGCAUCGACAUCAACACCUGCAGCUUUACAGAAAUCAUUGCACUAACACCGCGCCACUGAACCGACACGGCGUCAGCGCCAACGUAGCGCCGACGCCAACGACAAUACUGCGCUAACACUGCACCAACAUCGACACUGCACUAACAUCGACACUGCACCCCUUCAAGAAUCAUUGCAAAAACACCGAUGCUGCGCCGCCUCACUGCGCCAACACCAACACAGCAUCAAUAUCGAUAGUGCACCCUUACAGGAACCAUUGCGCAUACAGUACACUGCACCCAGCCACUGCACCAGUACCAACACAGUGCCAACGCCAACACUGCGCCAGUAUCAACACUGCAGCAACACUGCGCCCUCAGAAAACUAAUCACUGUAUAAUUUCGUUAGCAGCACUGCAUUUAAGACAUCACUACUCUUAUUUCUUUAUUGCCCACAAGGGGCUAAACGUAGAGGGGACAAACAAGAAUAGACAUAGGUAUUAAGUCGAUUACAUCAACCUCAGUGCUCAACUGGUACUUAAUUUAUUGACCCCGAAAGGAUGAAAGGCAAAGUCGACCUCGGCGGAAUUUGAACUCAGAACGUAACGGCAGACGAAAUACCUAUUUCUUUACUACACACAAAGGGGCUAAACAUAGAGGGGACAAACAAGGACAGACAAACGGAUUAAGUCGAUUACAUCGACCCCAGUGCGUAACUGGUACUUAUUUAAUCGACCUCGAAAGGAUGAAAGGCAAAGUCGACCUCAGCGGAAUUUGAACUCACAACGUAACGGCAGACGAAAUACCGCUAAGCAUUUCGCCCGAGGCAUAAUAUAUACCACAACAACAACAACUAACAGCAUUGUACCACCGCCAUCAACACUACAACCCCUACAACAAUAAAUACAGCAACAACAACUCAACAGGGAUACCUGUAUAUGGCCGUUUAAUCUAUUAAAGAUAGCGACAAAUUUUCCCUCAAAUCAUAGAUCCUCGGAUGGGGAUUAAAAAACAAAACAACACGUUGAAUGUUAAGGCCCUUGAUAGACUCACGCUAAAGAAAUGACGAUGAUGUGGUCACGGCUGGAGCGUUUCUGAUUAUAUGUCUCUUGUUGAACCGUCGGGAGAACGUGAAAUAAUUCCUAUUCGGAACGGUGAUACUCGAAGCAGAUGAAGUUAUAAUCUCAUGCAAUCACAUUUUUUCUCUCGUUUUUUUUUUUUUUCGGGCUUCUCUAUUUUCCCCCUCUUAGUCUUUUCUCUCGAAGGGCGUAGGCUCGAAACGUCAAAGACUUUUCCAUUCUACCAUUCUUUCCAUGUACACACACACACACACACACACAAUCAUAUGUAUGCGUACACAUAAAGUUAACAGAUUUAUAUUCAGACUUAUACAUGUGCACAGAUACAUACAUGCGUAAAAAUAUAGAUAUGCACAAAAACACAUACAUAAACUUAUAUAAUGAGGCUUUAAUCCCACAUAUAUACAUUCACAUCUACACCCCCUACCACUUCUUACACACUGACAUGUCAUCGCACCAUCGCUCAACUGUACACGAUGUCUAAAAUUGCAUUCACGGAAGCCAUGUCACUUUAUGGAUUACAUUCCGCAGGAAAGAACCAACCGAAAUAAGCAUCUCACCACACAUAACACAUUGAUAUAUAUAUAUAUAUAUAUAUAUAUAUAUAUAUAUAUAUAUAUAUAUAUAUAUAUAUAUAUAUAUAUAUAUAUAUAUAUAUAUUUAUAUAUAUGUAUAUAUAUAUGUAUAUAUAUAUAUGUAUAUGUAUAUAUAUAUAUAUAUAUAUAUAUAUAUAUAUAUUUAUAUAUAUAUAUAUACAUAUAUUUAUAUACAUAUAUGUAUAUACAUAUAUAUAUAUACAUAUAUAUAUACAUAUAUAUAUAUAUAUAUAUAUAUAUAUAUAUACGUACAUAUAUAUAUACAUAUACAUAUAUAUAUAUAUAUAUAUAUAUAUAUAUAUAUAUAUAUAUAUAUAUAUAUAUAUAUAUAAUAUAUAUAUAUAUAUAUAUAUAUAUAUAUAUAUAUAUAUAUAUAUAAUAUAUAUAUAUAUAUAUAUAUAUAUAUAUAUAUAUAUAUAUAUAUAUAUAUAUAUAUAUAUAUAUAUAUAUAUAUAUAUAUAUAUAUAUAUAUAUAUAUAUAUAUAUAUAUAUAUAUAUAUAUAUAUAUAUAUACGUAUAUAUAUAUAUAUAUAUAUAUAUAUAUAGACAUAUAUAUAUAUAUAGACAUAUAUAUAGAUACAGUGUUACAUACGCAUAUAGUUACAGAGAAUCCUGUAUAGAUAGACACACAGACACACGCCUAUGCAUAUACUUACACAGAUGCAUAGCUACAUACAUCGAUCGACACACAUGUUCAUACACUACAGUCACAUUCUUACAUAUACACCUGCAGUCGAUACCUAGGUAGAUGUGGAGAUAAUCAAGAUCUGAAACUUCCAAGAUGCGAUCGAAAAUGUUGAUUUUCGUCACAUCUUGCCUGGAAGACUUCGCGUAUGGAGUCGGCAGCUGCUCCAGAAAUGUCCUCAAGGUAUUAGCUUCCAAUGAGGAAUGGUGCUGUUGUUAGUGCUAUAUGCGGUGUCAUCCGUAGGAAAGAUCGUUCCGAGAUGAAUAUCCGAAAAUAUAUUUGGCGCUUAGAACGUUUAUGUGUUUUAAGAUAGGGAAUAUUGAUGGAACAUUCCCACGAACGUUCAGUGUAAAUAUAAUCAGAUUUGACAUAGCUGUCUUGGAGACCGAAAUAAAAAUGGAAUAUAUUUGGAGAGGUCAGUUGACCUGUCGAAAUAAACAUUUUAUCGAACACGAGCGGGGAAAAAGAGAAUAUUUUUGGCCAAAUGUUUGGGAAUUUAGAAAUUCUUUACUCAGAUGAUAAAUUUACAUUUGGAUCCAAUAAUGGAUUCGACAGUUAUGCUAAGUUUUUAAGAGCCUGGAAAAAUGGGCUUUUCAGAUAGAUUGAUAGAUUGAAAGACAGGUAGUUAAAGAGAGAGAGAGAGAGAGGGAGAGAACGAGAGAGAGAGAGAGAGAGAGAGAGAGAGAGAGAGAGAGAGUGUGUGUGUGAGAGAGAGAGAGAGAGAGAGAGAGAGAGAGAGAUCAUGUGAAUUCCAUCUGUAAGUGGAACAGUGAAAAAGUACAAAAUUAAAAAAAAUAUUAGCUGUGUCUCUUUUAUUCCAUAAUUUAGAUACUUGCUUCUUUACGAAGAAAAAAAAUCACAGAAGUGCAAAAUAAAUUUACACACACACACACACACACACACUAUUCUUUCUGUCUUCGUCGAAUCAGUCUUGCUACCCUUGAAUUUCUUUUCCGUGCUCAGUCAUCAGGUAAGUUAUGACUGGCAUGUUUUAUGGUCCUUUAAAAUACUUGUGUACGUGUGUGUGUGUGUGUAUAUGUAAUUGAUAGGUACAGAAGCAAUAUUAAUACCAAAAGGUAAUGUCGAUCUCCAACUUAACCCGGUGGUUGUGUAUAGAACACUGCGUUAUUUGCCUUGCGAGAAUCUCUCAUAAGGACUCGUGAUGCAUAAAAGCACUCAGCGUUAGAUCGUUAAUAGACGAGAAUCGUCUGCUAUACGCCUGCAGGAAGUGCCAGAUCUUGUGAUUUCAUCCUGCCAUGGGUUCUUCAGUGACAGAUAUCCAGCAGCAUGCUGACAGCCGAAUCCCCCGGCAACGUUAUGUAGAAUUUCAGGGUCUGUUGAGGCACCGGUGUCGCAAACAGCCAGUGGGCUUAUAUAUAUAUAUAAGGGACAGAUCCGUUUCCCUCAGUACAAACAGAUUCCUUUGAAUGAGCAUAGAGAGAGUUGUGCAAGUAAUAUCCAACCAAACUUCACCGUUUUCCUCAUCUACCAGUGCAAAGAAACAAUUUCUGUACAAAUAUGUUUAAACAAAUAAAAUUUGUGCAUCGAAAAAUACGCCUAAACACGAACGCAUAACCAACUUUGGUCUCAGUAUAUAUUUUAAUUUAUGUUCACAUACCCAUCACUGUAAAUACUUCGUCUCACUACUUUAGAUUUUGAGGUUUUGUAUAUUUAUUUACCCCACUCCCCAAAAUAUGAGCAAUUACCUUCCCUGACCCGAAUAAUAACGAUCACCAAUCACCUCGCCUUAGAUUUUUCUACUUGUUGAUUCAUUCACAAAUUCCCGUACACAACAUGGACUAAAAUCUUAAGAAAAUACAAAGUUACAAUAAUUUCAAUGCCAUUAUUAGCGAAAGCGAAACCGGUCGACAAACGCAAUACUCAUUCACACAUAAAAUAUUUCAAAAAAUAUAUUAAAACUAUGUAAACAGUGUGCUUUUUUCUCUCCUUCUUUCUCUCCUUUUUUUUUUUUUUCUGUGUCCCUUUCUGUAGAAGAGCGUAGGCUCGAAACGUAAAAGACUUAUUCUAUUCUUGAGCGUUAUACUAAUACAUCUGUUUGUUUUGUACACCACCUGUCUUCGUCUUUUGUUUUUUUCGUAAACUCACCCUAUAUAUAUAUAUAUAUAUAUAUAUAUAUAUAUAUAUAUAUAUAUAUAUAUAUGUAUAUAUUGCAUUACAACUGAACACGCGGGGAUAAUCGAAAUUCUUCUCCCUUUUUCUUAUAUGUGUGUGUGUGUGUGUAUGCGUGUGUGUAUAAUCAUGUGAUUAUUUGCAGUGUUAUUUUGGUGAGUUUUAGCUCUCAUUUCUAGCAAGUAGACGUAAAAGCGCGUCCUUAUAAUCAAUAUACAUACAUAUAUAUAUAUAUAUAUAUAUAUAUAUAUAUGUAUAGCUACUUAUGUUUAUCUACACACACACACAUAUAUAUAUAUAUACAUACAUAUAUGUAUAUAUAUACAUAUAUAUAUGUAUGUGUGUGUAUAUAUGUAUAUACGUAUGUGCGUGUGUAUAUAUAUAUAUAUAUAUAUAUAUAUAAACCAUAUAAACAUACAAAAACACAGAUUCACAUGUAUAUACACACUUGCGUAUAAACAAACACAUACUAUUAUACACACAUCUUUCUUUCUAUAUCUAUCUAUGUGUCUACUUAUCUAUCUAUCUAUCUAUCUAUCUAUCUAUCUAUCUAUCUAUCUAUCUAUCUAUCUAUCUAUCUAUCUAUCUAUCUACCUGUCUGCAUGUCUUUCUGUCUGUCUGUCUGUCUGUCUCUCUCUCUCUUUCUCUCUAUCUAUAUGCAUGUAUAUAUAAAAGGCAUUCCUUAUACCAUUCUUUACUGCUAUGCUCAAUUACAAUUCUUUGUUUUCUUCUUUCCUUCCUCCUCCUUCCUCCCCUUCCUCCUUUCUCUCCUCCUUUCCUUUUUCUUUCAUAAAACUACCUUUGCACGCAAUUCUUGGACAUGUGUUGCUGGUAGCUAUGGCAACGAUACUAUUUACUGUUCUAUGCGCUAUCAUUGUUGUACUUUAGUAGUAGAAGUAGUAGUGGUGGAGGUGGUUAUAGUAGUAGUGGUAGUGGUAGUGGUGGUAGUGGUAGUAGUAGUUGCUGUUGUGUAUUGUAGUCGACAGAUAGUUGUCUAUAAAAUAAAAGACAGUCAUUAGCGUAAUCAGUGAAAUUUAAUAAUAAUAAUAAUAAUAAUAAUAAUGAUGAUGAUGAUGAUGAUGAUGAUGAUGAUAAUAAUAAUGAUAAUAUUAAUGAUAAUGAUAAUAAAUAUAAUAAUAAUAAUAAUAAUAAUAAUAAUAAUAAUAGUAAUAAUAAUAAUAAUAAUAAUAUUAAUAAUAAUAAUAAUGAUAAUAAUAAUCAUAAUAAUAAUAAUAAUAAUAGUAAUAAUAAUGAUAAUAAAUAUAAUAAUAAUAAUAAUAAUAAUAAUAAUAAUGAUAAUAAUAUUAAUAAUAAUAAUAAUAAUAAGAAGAAGAAGAAGAAGAAGAAAAAAGAAGAAAAAGAAGAGAAAAAGAAAAAGAAGGAGAAGAAGAAGAAGAAAAAGAAGAAGAAAAAGAAGAAGAAGGAGAAGAAGAAGAAGAAAAAGAAGAAGAAAAAGAAGAAGAAGAAAAAGAAGAAGAAAAAAAGAAGAAAAAGAAGAAGAAGAAAAGGAAGAAGAAGAAAAAAAGAAGAAAAAGAAGAAGAAGAAGAAGAAUGUCUUCUAUUAUCCCCAGGAGGAUAGGUGGUAGAGGUGGGGGUAUCACAAAGACAGACAACAAUUUGUGUGGGGAUUUAGAUAAAAGAUGGGAAAAAAGAAAUUAAAAGACGGUGAAAUGAAUAAAAAAAAAAAGGUAUGGGAUAACAUGAAUGAUGCAGUCUUCCUAUUAGGGUCAAUCAAAGAACCCCACAGAUUCCAGGAUUACCCAGACUAUCGAGAGUAUGAGCCCUCUCUCUUGCUCUUCAAUCUGCAGGCGCACACACGAAGAGUAGAGCCAUUCAUUCGAGCGAUUUCUGCCACAGUCAUCCAUCUUUUCACAAAUUUACGGGGUUGGGGUGGUACUUCCAUCUUUACUUUCCUUUCAAUGUGGGUCUUACAAAAGCGAUGAGAUCUUGACUGAAAAAGAAGGUGUCUUUCCUCAGUCUUUCCAGCCUCGUCCACCACACAAAACCUCUUUCUCCGUAGCCACUUUGUAGAGGGACACCAAGUACUCUGUCUUGUUAAGGGUCGGUGGAGUGGGCAAUCCUCGCGAUGGGUUCGGUCGAGAGAAUCCGUUUCCCACGUCCUAGCAGCUGUUCGACAUAAUUCCACGGGUCAGCAAUGCUCGGGCCCAGCAGGAAUGCAUGCCGAACGGUUUCGUCGCUCUGCGCGCAAUCCGUUCCACUAAAACACAAGGACAGAAAUUGAUUUCUUGUGCCGAGGUGGCGGAAUGGGAUAAGUCAAUUACAUUGACCCCAGUGCGCAACUGGUACAUAUUUCGCCGACUCCGAAAGGAUGAAAAAUCGACUUCGAUGGGAUUUGAUCUCACAACUGUGAAACCGGAAGAACUGCUGCUAAGUAUUUCGUUCGGCGAGCCAACACUUCUGUCAGCUCGCUGGCCUCUUAAUAAUAAUAAUAAUAAUAAUAAUAAUAAUAAUAAUAAUAAUAAUAAUAAUAAUAAUAAUUCUUUCUACGAUAGGCAGAGGGCCAGUAGGUUUCAAGGAAGUAGGUCAAGCCAAUCAGACCAACUGCAGUUCUUCACUGGUAGUUAUUUUCCAACAGCCAGAUAGACUGGACUGUCGACAGUUAGGUGUGUUGGUCAUGGACACAGUACAGCGAACUAUACCACACUGUGGUACCUACUUACAGCUAGAUAAACUGGACUUUCGACAGUUGUGUUGGUCAUAGACACAGUACAGCGAACUAUAUCGUUGUGUGGUAUCUACUUACAGCUAGAUAGACUGGGCUGUUGACAGUUAAGUGUACUGGUUGUGGACACAGUACAGCGAACUAUACCACACUGUGGUACCUACUUACAGCUAGAUAGACUGGACUGUUGACAGUUGUGUUGGUUGUGGACAAAGUACAACGAACUAUACCACACUGUGGUACCUACUUACAGCUAGAUCGACUGUGCUGUUGACAAUUAGGUGUGUUGGUCAUAGACACAGUACAGCGAACUAUAUCACUGUGUUGUAUCUACUUACAGCUAGAUAGACUGGACUGUUGACAGUUAAGUGUGUAGGUUGUGGACACAGUACAGUGAACUCUAUACUACAGCAUAGUACUUGCAUGCAAAUACCAAUCUAAGUCUUGUCUACAGAAUCCGAUCUAAAGCUAAACUAUUAAUUUCUUAUAUUUGGCUCCUGAAGCUAAUUUCCCCGAGAAAAGCAUGAACAUCUCAACUUCAGACAAUGCCAUUCAAUGACAUUCCGAAAUAUUGGUGCAGUUUAGUGGAGUGUGGAAGUGGUGCCAAGUGGGAAGACAGAAUGAAGAGAUCAAUGGAGAAUUCGAUAAGGAAUGUUCAAUUUCUUUUCUUCGAAAGGUAGAGGCAGGGUGUCGGGUGGAAUUGGAAACUGCGGAGAGAAAAAAAAAUAGAAGGAACCAAAAAAAGAAAAAAAAAAAAACAAACAAAAAAUCAAAGCAAAACAAAGAAAAACAAUUAUAGAAACAAAGUAUAUAGAAAUAAAUGAAAUAAAACCGGAAAAUAAUAAAGAAAAAAAAGCAAACUAUAAGAAAAUAUUUGAAAACAUUGACGAAGAAAUAAGGAAGAACACAAGACAAACCAAAGUGAUAAAUGGUUGGAAUUAUUGCAGACUUUCACCUUUCUGACACUCUCUGCCUCCUCCUCUUACUCUCUAUCUCUCUGUCACUCUCUCUCUCUCUCUCUCGAUAUUUCUGUCUAUUUCUAUCUCUCUGUUUCUCUCUCUGUUUCUCUGUUUCUCUCUCUCCUUCUGUUUACCUCUUACUCACUAUCUUGCUCUCACUCGCUCUACCUUUCUCUCUUCUUUUCCGUUUGACUGUUUCACUCUCACUCAGUUUUCUUCCUAUCUCUCUCUUUCUUCUCUCUCUCUCUUUCUUUCUUCUUUCUCUCUCUUUCUUCUUUCUCUCUCUUUCUUCUCUCUCUCUCUCCCUUUCUUCUCUCUCUCUCUGCUCUGUAGACACCAAACACAAGACUUUCCUUACACACAGUCAUGACAAAAAUCCCCCCCCCACAAAAACAAUCUUACAUACAAAUUCAAUACCAAUCACACACAAGUACAAACUCAUACACAUUCGUACAAAGACAUACACACGCAAACACACACACACACAUGCUCACACACACACACACACACCACCCAACGCGUCAACAACCUUUAAUAAACCAAUAUUAAAUCAAUCAUUUAGACGUAUUCUUUAUUUAUUUAGUUAUUUUAAAGUAUUUUUUUAAAUAUUUAUUUGAUCUUUUUUUCUAUAACGUGUUAAUGAUCGAACUUCGAUAGCAGAGAAAUGCAGAACUGAUAACAUAUUGGACGAUAAAUCGAAGUAUUGAGGUUCAUAUCUUACUGUGUACUUAACUGUCAACAGCCCAGUCUACCUAGCUGCAAGUAGGUACCACACUGUAGUGUAGCUCAUUUUACUGUGUCCAUGGCCAACACACUGAACUGUCAACAGCGCAGUCUACUCAGCUGUAUGUAGGUACCACAAUGAUAUAGUUUAUGGUACUGUGUCCCUGACCAACACACUGAACUAUCAACAGCCCAGUCUACCUAGCUGUAAGUAGGUACCACAUUGUAGUAUGGUUCAUUUUUCUUCUUCUUCUUCUUACAGCAUUCACCCGGGGUGGGUUGCACUGACUUCAUUCAUCCUCAAUGCUGCAUCUCUCACAAACGCCGACCAGGCCUGGCGAUUUGAGGCUAACGACCACGUGAGCUCCAACCACUCUUUAUUCCAGCGGCGAACGCCGUAGACAUGGGGGGGCCUAGGUUGGGUUCCAGAUCAGCCUUGACUGUCAUCAGCCAGGUUUUUCGUUGUCCACCACAUCGCUUUCGCCAACCCUGAAGAGGAGCUGGGGCAAUUGCUUCGUAGAUGAAUUCUCCUGGUUGACGACGGAGGGCAUGACCCAGCCAAUGCAGACGUUUCGUUAGGAUGACUUGUUGGAGGGAGGUGAUUCUGCACUGGUGUCGCACCGAAUUGUUGGAGACAAAGUGAUGCCAUCGGACACGAAGGAUGCGGCGUAGACAGAGGUGAUCGAAGGAUUCUAGUGCUUAAUAUCUUCCAGCCUCAUUGGCCAUAACUUGCUGCUGUAAAGGAGAAUCGUUCGCACAUUUUGCUGUGUCUGUGACCCAUACACUUUACUGUCAACAGUCCAGGCUACUUAGCUGUAAGUAGGUACCACAGCGUGGUAUAGCUCACUGUAUUGAAUCCAUGGCCAAUACAACUGUCGACAGUCCAGUCUACCAAGCUGUAUGUAGAUACAACAUUGUGGUAUAGUUCACUGUACUAUUUCAUAACAUUUCAUUUCAUCUAGUUUCAGCUCACGAGCUGUGGCCAUGCUGGGGCACCGCCAUUGACCAACACAAAUGACUAUAGCUCAGUCUACCUAGCCGUAUGUAGGUACCACACUGUUGCAUAGUUCACUGUACUAAGUUCACGACCAACACAAAUGACGAUAGCCCAGUCUACCUAGCCGUAUGUAGGUACCACACUGUUGCAUAGUUCACUGUACUGUGUCCACGACUAGCACACUUAACUGUCGACAGUGCAGUCUGCUUAGCUGUAAGUAGGUACCACAGUGAGUUAUAGUUUUUCUUUGGUUUUAAUUUGGUUGCGAGAGACAUGGGAGCGAGAUGCGAGGAAAAAGAAAAUUUACGAGUCACAUCAAACAAUGAAAACAUUUGUUAGAUUUAUUAAAAUUUCCAUAAAUCUCUCGUUGAAUUGUGUUAUUCCCCGCAAUGUGGUUGGUGUGGGUGUUUGUACAGUUCGUAUACAUACAUACAUACGUACGUACGUACAUACAUACAUACAUACGUACAUACACACAUGUAUGUACAUAUGUGUGUGUGUUUGUCGAAACAUUAAGUUGAAAUGAACUUUAGUCAAUCAAUAUUUGGCAAUAAAACAGGUUUUUAAACGAAAGAAAACAAAAAUGAAAAAAACAAUAAAUUAAAAAUGGAUAAACAAAUGAAUAAUAAAAGAAAGGGGGUGGAAGAGGGAGACCGGGGUAAACCCUAACUUUGGCACCUGAGUUGCCCUCCUUCCCUACUCACCAACAGCCUUCUCUACUAAACCUCUAUUGAGUAGGUGAAUACUCGUGCCAGAAGGUAAACAAAUAUAUGAACAAUUUUGUGAUUGAUUACAGAGUUAACGGCCAUUUUUAACCCCUACGACAGAUCACGUGAUGCGGCUGUCUGUUCUGUUCUGUUCAACAUAUUUAGAUAAACUGGCUUUGCCAUUGACCACAUUUCAAACACGUAAAUCUAUUUUUAUCUACUUUGUUGUCAUGACUUAAUCAGAUGCUGAAUGGCGGCGUUCACGGCCCUUAACGGGGACCCCGAGAUCAGAGAAGGGAUUUAUUCCUGAAAUAGGGACUUAGCAGUAGAAUAGUUUGCUAUUGGCCUGAAGGAACCGCCAAACUAGGCAAGGGCAGUGGUUCGCUUUGUUUCCAGCUUUUUAAUUUGUAUUUUUGAUACGUUUAUAUUAAGGUAUAUACACAUAUAUGUGUAUAUAUAAUAUAAUGUAGUCAUCAAGGCGGUGAGCUGAGAGAACUUUUACAUGCCGGGCGAAAUGCUUAGCGGCAUUUCGUCUGUCUCACGUUCUGUGUUCAAAUUCCACCGAGGACGAAUUUGCCUUUCAUCCUUUCGGGGUCGACAAAUUAAGUACCAGUGAAACACUGGUUCCAAUGUAAUUGACUAGCCCCUUACCCCAAAUUUCAGGCUUUGUGCCUAUAAUAGAAAGGAUUAUUAUUAUUAUUAUUAUUAUUAUUAUUAUUAUUAUUAUUAUUAUUAUUAUUAUUAUUAUUAUUCAGUAGUCUUAUUUUUAUCACGUGCUUUCACUGCAUUACUGAGUGCAGCCUUGUGUUCCUUACGUAUGUGCUGUGGUUUGUUGUGAUGCUCUUAUGGUUACUGUAUUGAAAGUGUUUUACGUAGGAUGUGUGCGGUGCCUAGCAGUGCUAUUUUCUGUAUGUUACAUACAUUCGUAAGUCCCAAUGUUUUGGUUAUGCCUGAAUGGUUUUUAAUCAUAACUAUUGCACUUAUUUUUAUGGGAUUUUCUAUUAUUAUUAUUAUUAUUAUUAUUAUUAUUAUUAUUAUUAUUAUUAUUAAUAUUAUUAUUGCAGAUAAACACAAAUAGGCUUGAGACAUACAUACAUACAUACCUGCACGCGCAGACACACACAUGUAUAAGCAUAGAUAAAGAUAGAUACAUAUAUGCAUACACACACGAACGCACGCGCACACACACACACGCAAACACACAUAUAUACACAAAUAUAUUAAACAUAGAGCAUAAAAAUACAGAAUGAUAAGAAAAUAAUACAUAGUUUCUUAACUCUACAGCUGUUUCAGGAAGCUCGGAAUUACGUAAUAACCGUAAUGUUCAUAACUUGCAGAUGAAGUGUGCAAAAAGCCUGGGGUAUGUAAUCAGAAAAUAGUCACACACAGAUAUAUUAUAAGUCGGGCUCGCGCACUCGCAUGACAUAAAGUCUCUAAAAAUUAUUUCCCUCUCACAUGUCCAAAGAUGACCAUCACUGAGCAUUACAGUGAUCAUGCUUCCAACAGGGUCUCUGUAAGUUCUCUAAGCUGUUAAAUGUCUUAUGGUUGACCAUAUCGUGGCAUUCCGUCGGUUACGACAACGAUGAUUCCAGUUGAUCCGAUCAACGGAACAGUCUGCUCAUGAAAUUAACAUUCAAAUGGCUGAGCACUCCACAGACACGUGCAACCUUAACGUAGUAUUCGGGGAGAUUCAGCGUGACACAGAGUGUGACAAGGCAGGCCCUUUGAAAUACAGGUACUACAGAACAAGGAAGAAAAAAAUGAUAGAAAGUUGUGAUGAAAUAGUACAGCAGGGUUCGUGUAGCCUCGUGUAACUUUAGGUGUUUUCCCUCAAUAAACACUCACAACGCGCGGUCUGGGAAUCGAAACCGCGAUCCUACGACCGCGAGUUCGCUGCCCUAACUGCUGGGCCAUUGUGCCUCCACAUGACUGACCAUACAACUGAAGAUAUAUACUACACGGCAGAAUGCAGAAUCUAUAUUUCAGUAUAUAGAAUUGUCAUUCUAAAGGAAUUCUUCAACGCCUGUGCAGAAUUCUAGGACCAUUAAGGGUUACAGAACCCCUUAAAGAUCAUCACCACCAUUCUGAUUGUGUCUGCGUCGCGACCUUCGGUUGGUUUCUUUGAACGAUCGCCAAUACGCAGUACAAUAUAAGCUGUUGCUCAUGUGGAAUGGAGGGCUGCUAGGAACCCAAAACAUUUGAAAAAAGGCCCAUGUUACCAGUAUGGAGUUAAUGAUUAUCUAAAAGACACUUAUUAGCACCUCGGAUAAAAUGCUAAGCAGCGUUUCCUCCGGCUCUUUACGUUCCGAGUUCAAAUCUCGCCGUGGUCAAAUUUACCUUUCAUACAAUCGGGGUCGAAAAAAUAAAGUACCGGUCAAGUAGAAGGGGUUAAUGUAAUGGACUUGCCUCAUCCCAUCAAAAUUGCUGGCAUUAUUGGACCUUGUAACAGACCCGUGUCUUGUGCAGGGAUAAUGUCGUGAUGUUGGUCAUUUAUACGCCUUGGAAACCGGCUCACCGGCCUUUAUGAGUCCCAGGGCCCGCUGUGUAUAUACAUGUAUGUGUGUGUGUAUGUGUGUGUGUGUAUGUGUGUAUGUGUAUGUGUGUGUGUUUGUGUGUGUAGGGGGAUGUAUGCCAAGAAAUUCCUCUUGGCUGACGGUAAUAAUCCGUAAUCAAAGAGAACUGUUUGCAGCGCUGGCAUUUUGGGUUUAUUGUAUCCUAACAUCAUGACCAGAUGUUUCCUUCUCUCUCUCUCUCUCUCUUUCUGUCACACAGACACACACACACACACACACAUGCACACACACGUAUUCUAUACACGCACACAGUUCUUCGCGCAAAAACAAAAGCCUUCUUGGCAUCAAAAGCGAAAGUGGCGUUUGCCUAUUGAUAUAACGAGUAUAAACAAGAAGGGGAAAAUGCGUUUUUAAAGAAACCAAUAAAAACACCGAAACACACGCACAAGGAAGAGAGUGGGGGAGAGGGAGAAACACACACACACACACACACACAAACACACACACACACACAUAUAUAUCCACUCCUACAAGCAUACAUAUAUACACACAAACACACAUCAAUACGGACAUAUUUGCCGAGUUUGGUCGGUUUCUCUUCCUGUACUUUUACUUCGUGCUUCCCUUCUAUUAUGUCCUUAUUUAUUUUGUUCUUAUUAUCUUGUUGUUACUGUUGUUGUUGUUGUUCUUCUUCUCCUAUUUCUCCUUCCUCUCCUUCUAUUUCUUCUUCUCCUAUUUCUCCUUCUCCUCCUCUUUCUUCUUCUUCUUCUCCUUCCUCUCCUUCUUUUUCUUCUCCUUCCUCUUCUUCUUCUUCUACUCCUCCUUCUCCUUCCUCUCCUCCUUCUCCUUUCUCUCCUUCUUCUCCUUCUUCUUCUUCUCCAUCUUCUUCUCCUCCUCCUCCUCCUCCUCCUCCUCCUCCUCCUCCUCCUCCUUCUUCUUUUUCUUCUUCUACUCCUUUUUCUCCUUCUCCUUCUCUUUCUCCUUCUCCUUCUUCUUCUUCUCCUUCUACUAUCUCUUCUUCUCCUUCUCCUUCUUCUUCUUCUUCUCCUUCUCCUUCUCUUAUCUUCUUCUUCUUCUUCUUCUCCUUCUACUAUCUCUUCUUCUUCUCCUUCUCCUUCUUCUUCUUCCCCUUCUCCUCCUUCUUCUCCUUCCUCUUCUUAUUCUUCCCCGUCUGUCACGCAGCAAUAUCAUUUGUUUUGCUUUGUUCGCCGUUUUUGUUUAUCUUUUUGUCUUUUCUCAGGAGAUUUUCUAUGGAUUUUCUAAUGUCAAUCAAACGGCUGUAUGUUUAACUUACAGUACUUGAGACACUAGAUGUAGCUUUAAGUAAGCCAUUAUAUACACACACAUAUAUACGUGCACAUGUACGUGCGUGCUUCUAUAUAUCUGCUUGUGUAUAUUAUGUAUCCGUGCAUGUAUAUGUGUGUGUAUGUGUACAAAUAUUGCCUUCGUAGCGCCAGCGAACUCCCGUCCUUGACCAGUUUCUCUUAUUACAAUAUUUAUUGAUUUUCGACAAAGACAAUAUGUUGUUGUUGUUGCAGUUAGUUUUUUGGCUUUUGGAAGAAUCAGCAACAACGUCAGACAAUAUUCUUCAUUGCACUGUUAACGAUCGCCUUCGCUUAUUUUACAUCACGGGUUCAAAUCUUACCCAAUGCUUUUUUGCUCUUUUUAUGAAGUGCCCUGUCCAUUAUGCACCAGAGGUGUUCAAUAGGGUUCAUAUCUGCUGACUGGCUUGGCCAUGGAAGUUUUUUAAUGCCAUUCUCAUCCAACA
rnacentral:lncRNA from 1 species